rnacentral:rRNA from 1 species
AGAGUUUGAUCCUGGCUCAGGACGAACGCUGGCGGCGUGCUUAACACAUGCAAGUCGAACGGAAAGGUCUCUUCGGAGAUACUCGAGUGGCGAACGGGUGAGUAACACGUGGGUGAUCUGCCCUGCACUUUGGGAUAAGCCUGGGAAACUGGGUCUAAUACCGGAUAGGACCAUGGGAUGCAUGUUCUGUGGUGGAAAGCUAUUUGCGGUGUGGGAUGGGCCCGCGGCCUAUCAGCUUGUUGGUGGGGUGAUGGCCUACCAAGGCGACGACGGGUAGCCGGCCUGAGAGGGUGUCCGGCCACACUGGGACUGAGAUACGACCCAGACUCCUACGGGAGGCAGCAGUGGGGAAUAUUGCACAAUGGGCGCAAGCCUGAUGCAGCGACGCCGCGUGGGGGAUGACGGCCUUCGGGUUGUAAA